CCUACGGGUGGCAGCAGUGAGGAAUAUUGGUCAAUGGCCGUAAGGCUGAACCAGCCAAGUCGCGUGAAGGAAGAAGGAUCUAUGGUUUGUAAACUUCUUUUAUAGGGGAAUAAAGGUAUCCACGUGUGGAUAUUUGCAUGUACCCUAUGAAUAAGCAUCGGCUAACUCCGUGCCAGCAGCCGCGGUAAUACGGAGGAUGCGAGCUUUAUCCGGAUUUGUUGGGUUUAUAGGGUGAUUAGGUUGUUUUUUAAGUCAGCGGGGAAAGUUUGUGGCUCAACCAUAAAAUUGCCGUUGAAACUGGAAGACUAGAGUGUGUUAGAGGUAGGCGGAAUGCGUGGUGUAGCGGUGAAAUGCAUAGAUAUAACGCAGAACUCCGAUUGCGAAGGCAGCUUACUAAGCCAUAACUGACACUGAGGCACGAAAGCGUGGGGAUCAAACAGGAUUAGAUACCCGAGUAGUC
rnacentral:rRNA from 1 species